rnacentral:rRNA from 1 species
GACGAACGCUGGCGGCGUGCCUAAUACAUGCAAGUCGAACGCAGUGGGGACGGGUGAGUAACACGUGCCUAACCUCCCAUCAGAGGGGAUAACCCUUGGAAACAGGUGCUAAACCGAUACUGGUUGAUGGACCCGCGGUGCAUUAGCUAGUUGGUGGGGUAACGGCUCACCAAGGCCACGAUGCAUAGCCGACCUGAGAGGGUGAGCGGCCACACUGGGACUGAGACACGGCCCAGACUCCUACGGGAGGCAGCAGUAGGGAAUAUUGGGCAAUGGACGAAAGUCUGACCGAGCAACGCCGCGUGAGUGAAGAAGGUUUUCGGAUCGUAAAACUCUGUUGUUAGAGAAGCGGUAUCUAACCAGAAAGCAACGGCUAACUACGUGCCAGCAGCCGCGGUAAUAC